rnacentral:rRNA from 1 species
UACGGGAGGCAGCAGUGGGGAAUAUUGCACAAUGGGCGAAAGCCUGAUGCAGCUAUGCCGCGUGUAUGAAGAAGGCCUUAGGGUUGUAAAGUACUUUCAUCGGGGAGGAAAAAACAAAACUAAUAAUUUUAUUUCUUGACGUUACCCGAAAAAGAAGCACCGGCUAACUCCGUGCCAGCAGUCGCGGUAAUACGGAGGGUGCUAGCGUUAAUCAGAAUUACUGGGCGUAAAGAGCACGUAGGUGGUUUUUUUAAAGUCAGAUGUGAAAUCCCUGGGCUUAACCUAGGAACUGCAUUUUGAAACUGAAAUACUAGAGUAUCGUAGAGGGAGGUAGAAUUCUAGGUGUAGCGGUGAAAUGCGUAGAUAUCUGGAGGAAUACCUGUGGCGAAAGCGGCCUCCUAAACGAAUACUGACACUGAGGUGCGAAAGCGUGGGGAGCAAACAGGGAUUAGAUACC